ACAAUCUGUUUAACCUUUCUCUUCAUCUUUCCCUAUGAGCUCAUGUAGUGAGUGCUGCAGGAUGAUUUAGUUGUGAGCGGGGGACCUCGCAGCCCACAGUCGGCUUGCAGGGCACCCACAUAAGGAAGCGCAGAGGAAUGAUGAUUUAUCGAGCUGCAUCAUUUUGAGACAACCGAAAAGAUUGGAACUGUCACACCAAUUUUAUUCUUUUAACAAGGAGGCCUGGAGGGGGGCUUGCUUUCUCUGCUGCAGUUCCACAGUGAACGUACGGAAGCUCACUCUUUCUUAGGACCAGCGAUACAGUGCUAACAAUCUGUGUGUGAUGGCGAAAAACUGCUACGAAAACCAUCUUCGAACGGUACUAAAGUCACUGAAUGUGUUGCCAAGAUAAAUUUCCCAGCAUAUGUUAUUACUUUUCCUUCUGAGGAUGUUCGCACCUUUUUGUCAGGAAAUCCAGUUAUGGUGUGAUCUGUAUAGCUGUUAAGUUUUCUUAUUACCUGCAAGUUGUGAUUUGUGGCCUGUGGAGUGACAGGCAGUUCCAAAGGAGUUUUCGACUAAUGUACAUGUUGAUGUGUUGGAACAGUACGGAUGAAUUUGGUUCUUCA